AGGACGAACGCUGGCGGCGUGCCUAACACAUGCAAGUCGAGCGGAGAUUAUAGCAAUAUAAUCUUAGCGGCGGACGGGUGAGUAACGCGUGGGCAACCUGCCUUUCACAGGGGGAUAACACAGGGAAACUUGUGCUAAUACCGCAUAAGAUCAUAGGAGGACAUCCUCCAGUGACCAAAGGAGCAAUCCGGUGAGAGAUGGGCCCGCGUCCAAUUAGCUAGUUGGUGGUGUAACGGACCACCAAGGCGACGAUUGGUAGCCGAACUGAGAGGUUGAUCGGCCACAUUGGGACUGAGGUACGGCCCAGACUCCUACGGGAGGCAGCAGUGGGGAAUAUUGCGCAAUGGGGGGAACCCUGACGCAGCAACGCCGCGUGAAGGAUGAAGGUUUUCGGAUCGUAAACUUCUUUGAUGAGGGACGAAAGAAAUGACGGUACCUCAAAAACAAGCCACGGCUAACUACGUGCCAGCCGCCGC
rnacentral:rRNA from 1 species